AUGUGCCUUUUGUCAUGAGAAAGG
rnacentral:siRNA from 1 species